GUCUAGAACCCUGCAGUUGACUGAAGCCCAGAGAAUCUGCUGGAGCUCCCCUAGCGCAUAUGUUCUCUGUCUCAGAUUCCCCGUCUGAAAUAUAGAGUUCUCCACCAUAAUACAAGCAGCCAGGUUGAAGUCUGUAGAUCUGAGAAGAGCUCAAAGACACAGACCGGAAGAGAGGAGUGAAGGAGUGGUCACCAAAACAAAUGCUGAAAAAAAGAUCCAAUGUCUCCCAGGGGAAUCAGAUUCAACUUCUGCUUGCUUAUUAAGGAUCCACUGAGAGUGACUAGCUCAUCAUCAGUCCAGACAUCACCUUCUGUGCAAGCACUGGCUGACCAACUAUGCUGAACUAUGG